UACGUAUGGGGCUAGCGUUGUCCGGAUUUAUUGGGCGUAAAGAGCGUGUAGGCGGCCAGGUAGGUCUGGUGUGAAAACUCGAGGCUUAACCUCGAGAUGUCAUCGGAAACCAUCUGGCUAGAGUCCGGAAGAGGAGAGUGGAAUUCCUGGUGUAGCGGUGAAAUGCGCAGAUAUCAGGAAGAACACCAAUGGCGAAAGCAGCUCUCUGGGACGGUACUGACGCUGAGACGCGAAAGCGUGGGGAGCGAACAGG
rnacentral:rRNA from 1 species